rnacentral:rRNA from 1 species
GCGAAAACUUUACAAUGCCGGCAACGGCGAUAAGGGGACCUCGAGUGCCAGGUUACAAAUCUGGCUGUCGAGAUGCCUAAAAAGCAUUUCAUAGCAAGGGCCGGGCAAGACCGGUGCCAGCCGCCGCGGUAACACCGGCGGCUCGAGUGGUAACCGUUAUUAUUGGGUCUAAAGGGUCUGUAGCCGGCCGGAUAAGUCUCUUGAGAAAUCUGGCAGCUUAACUGUCAGGCUUUCAGGAGAUACUGUCUGGCUCGAGGCCGGGAGAGGUGAGAGGUACUUCAGGGGUAGGUGUGAAAUCUUGUAAUCCUUGAAGGACCACCAGUGGAGAAGGCGUCUCACCAGAACGGACCUGACGGCAAGGGACGAAAGCUAGGGGCACGAACC